rnacentral:rRNA from 1 species
AGAGUUUGAUCCUGGCUCAGGACGAACGCUGGCGGCGUGCCUAAUACAUGCAAGUCGUACGCUUCUUUUUCCACCGGAGCUUGCUCCACCGGAAAAAGAAGAGUGGCGAACGGGUGAGUAACACGUGGGUAACCUGCCCAUCAGAAGGGGAUAACACUUGGAAACAGGUGCUAAUACCGUAUAACAAUCGAAACCGCAUGGUUUUGAUUUGAAAGGCGCUUUCGGGUGUCGCUGAUGGAUGGACCCGCGGUGCAUUAGCUAGUUGGUGAGGUAACGGCUCACCAAGGCCACGAUGCAUAGCCGACCUGAGAGGGUGAUCGGCCACAUUGGGACUGAGACACGGCCCAAACUCCUACGGGAGGCAGCAGUAGGGAAUCUUCGGCAAUGGACGAAAGUCUGACCGAGCAACGCCGCGUGAGUGAAGAAGGUUUUCGGAUCGUAAAACUCUGUUGUUAGAGAAGAACAAGGAUGAGAGUAACUGUUCAUCCCUUGACGGUAUCUAACCAGAAAGCCACGGCUAACUACGUGCCAGCAGCCGCGGUAAUACGUAGGUGGCAAGCGUUGUCCGGAUUUAUUGGGCGUAAAGCGAGCGCAGGCGGUUUCUUAAGUCUGAUGUGAAAGCCCCCGGCUCAACCGGGGAGGGUCAUUGGAAACUGGGAGACUUGAGUGCAGAAGAGGAGAGUGGAAUUCCAUGUGUAGCGGUGAAAUGCGUAGAUAUAUGGAGGAACACCAGUGGCGAAGGCGGCUCUCUGGUCUGUAACUGACGCUGAGGCUCGAAAGCGUGGGGAGCAAACAGGAUUAGAUACCCUGGUAGUCCACGCCGUAAACGAUGAGUGCUAAGUGUUGGAGGGUUUCCGCCCUUCAGUGCUGCAGCUAACGCAUUAAGCACUCCGCCUGGGGAGUACGACCGCAAGGUUGAAACUCAAAGGAAUUGACGGGGGCCCGCACAAGCGGUGGAGCAUGUGGUUUAAUUCGAAGCAACGCGAAGAACCUUACCAGGUCUUGACAUCCUUUGACCACUCUAGAGAUAGAGCUUCCCCUUCGGGGGCAAAGUGACAGGUGGUGCAUGGUUGUCGUCAGCUCGUGUCGUGAGAUGUUGGGUUAAGUCCCGCAACGAGCGCAACCCUUAUUGUUAGUUGCCAUCAUUUAGUUGGGCACUCUAGCAAGACUGCCGGUGACAAACCGGAGGAAGGUGGGGAUGACGUCAAAUCAUCAUGCCCCUUAUGACCUGGGCUACACACGUGCUACAAUGGGAAGUACAACGAGUCGCGAAGUCGCGAGGCUAAGCUAAUCUCUUAAAGCUUCUCUCAGUUCGGAUUGUAGGCUGCAACUCGCCUACAUGAAGCCGGAAUCGCUAGUAAUCGCGGAUCAGCACGCCGCGGUGAAUACGUUCCCGGGCCUUGUACACACCGCCCGUCACACCACGAGAGUUUGUAACACCCGAAGUCGGUGAGGUAACCUUUUGGAGCCAGCCGCCUAAGGUGGGAUAGAUGAUUGGGGUGAAGUCGUAACAAGGUAGCCGUAUCGGAAGGUGCGGCUG